CCUCCUGGUUCGGUGCCUCCCACCCGGUCGCUGUCCCCAGUUUCGGUUUCCUGCGGGAGCGGCGGGAGCGCCUUCCGGGAAUCGGCGCUGCGGAGCGCGGCCGCGGCAGGGCGCUGCUGCUCGGCCCGGGAGUGACUCAGGGAUGCUCGGGAAUUCCUGCCGGGAAUCUCCGCCCGCGCCGGGAAACCCCCCUGGGGGCACCGGGAUGCUCCCGCCCGGACCCCCGAGGGGCACCGGGAUGCUCUUGCCCGGACCCCCGAGGGGCACCGGGGUGCUCCUGCCCGGACCCCCGAGGGGCACCGGGAUGCUCCCGCCCGGACCCCCGAGGGGCUCCGGUACCCGCUCCAUCCGCCGACCCACGGCCCAGCCCCGAGAAGGAAACCAGAAUUGCUCUCUGGGAUGGGCAAUGACUUUUGGGCUGUCACCUCCUUCCUGCUGCCGUGAAAGUCGAGGCAGAGCGUUCAAAGCGUUUUGUGCCCCGCGGGGAUUGCCUGGCACUGGUGGCACCGAGGGGACGAGGAUGCUGUGGGGAUGUGCUGAGCACGGACGGGACUUGGACUCGCCUCGGGAAUCGCAAUCGCUGCGAAAUGGGGGACUCGAAAGGGAUGAAGGAGCUCUGAGGAAAGGAAGGAAAGCCCUAAGAUUUUUCCUGCCCAAAGCUCUCCCGGCAGCUGCAUCGAGCAUUUCUGGUCUCCUGUUGCCACCUGCCGUCAGCAGACUCCUGUACGGAGACUACUCUGCUUUGGGGACUAAGCAGAGCACAGCGUCUGACAAAUCAACGUCUGCACAAACAACUUAAAAAUCAUAAUUUUGCUGAUUAACCCUUGUUUCACCAGUAAUUCUUCCUGCUUUGCUCCUUAUGGAGCAAUACUGUGAAAAACUGCAUUUUUCCUUCAUGAAAGUUGGAUAACGCUAGAACACACUGGGAAAAUCAGCAUGUGGCAAGAAAAUGUUUUGUUUCUGUAUAUUUGUUCUGUCAUCACAAGAUUCUCACCUGUCUUUUUGCCGGCGCUCCUGAGGAUGCCCCUGAAAAAGGAGCAGGGAUGCUGACAUGUUGUAUCAGAACAUGUCUGACACAUGAGUUUGGAACACUUAAAUCAAACACUUGGCAACACUGUGACAAGUGCCUUGCUCAUCUGCUCAGCUCCUUUUUUCAUGAUGUCAGAAUUGGUAGAUUUUUGAAGAAGCUUCUCCUAUGAUCAGAAAGACACUGGUGGAACCCACCUCUCUAUCUGACCAAAAAUCUCUUCUCAAUUUUGGUCUCAUUUCUUCCAUAUAUAUAUAUAAGAAAUUAAUUUAUGCUGGGAUAUUCAUAGAAAAAAAAUGCAAGCAUUGUCCAGGGAGCUAGAGAGAAUUUGUGAGCUGUUGCAGAGUUGGGUACCUUAAUGGACUCUCUGGUUUUUAAUUCAUGCAUCAUUGGAAACAGCUUUCAGCAACACAUUUACUCACUCACCUCAAGGAUCUAGUUCCCCUGACUAGAUUAGAUAACUAUUUCCUGAAGUGUGGGAAUAGCUUGGAAGAAAUUUGUGAGGCAAGGGGAGGGAGGAGCACAAAGACAAUUAUUCAUUUAAUUAAAAGUUGUAAAAAGACCCUUUUUAGUCUAUAUUUUUCUAUAUAUUAUUUUCUCCUCUUUUGUCUAUAAAAUAUAAUUUAACUGACACAAUAGAAAUAAAUUUGUACUGAUCUAAACA
ensembl:lncRNA proline-rich protein HaeIII subfamily 1-like